rnacentral:lncRNA from 1 species
AUGUUGUCAGAGUGUGUAUCUCCAACUGUAAGUAGCUCAUUCACCGAGCGUUGUCAGACUAGCUGCAUGCAGGUAGUAAGUAAGCGCAGUGUUCCCAGAGAGAGUGUCUCCAGUCCCAGUCUUGUCCUCAAAGCGCUUGGAGACUCAGUGUAUCCACAGAGAGAGGCUUGCAACUGGAAUAGCAAAGCAUUGUUUCCAGAGCAUUGUCUCCAGCCACAAGGAUCUCAUCCACAGAGUGCUCUGAGUCUAGAAGCGCUCCCCAGAACAGACUAUAAUAACUGGAAUGUUCUCAGAGACUGUUGCCAGUCCCAAAUGUUUCGUCUUUGAAGUGGGAGGCAAUGUUUUUUCAUAAAGGAAACUUAUGAUGUUCAUAGAUUGCAUGUUCUCCCCCAGCGGGUUAUCUAAGUGUCCUG